GAUCCUGGCUCAGAACGAACGCUGGCGGCAUGCCUAACACAUGCAAGUCGAACGAAGCCUUCGGGCUUAGUGGCGCACGGGUGCGUAACACGUGGGAAUCUGCCCUUCGGUUCGGAAUAACAGUUAGAAAUGACUGCUAAUACCGGAUGAUGACGUAAGUCCAAAGAUUUAUCGCCGAAGGAUGAGCCCGCGUAGGAUUAGGUAGUUGGUAGGGUAAUGGCCUACCAAGCCGACGAUCCUUAGCUGGUCUGAGAGGAUGAUCAGCCACACUGGGACUGAGACACGGCCCAGACUCCUACGGGAGGCAGCAGUGGGGAAUAUUGGACAAUGGGCGAAAGCCUGAUCCAGCAAUGCCGCGUGAGUGAUGAAGGCCUUAGGGUUGUAAAGCUCUUUUACCAGGGAUGAUAAUGACAGUACCUGGAGAAUAAGCUCCGGCUAACUCCGUG
rnacentral:rRNA from 1 species